UAUACUUCAAGGAAAAUACUGAUCAUAGAAUGCAAUCUGAAAUCUUUUUCAGGUAAGUAUUUCACCAUCUUGUUCAUACUUACGCUGUAGUCGCUGACACCAGUUGUAUGCUUCUCCUUGUAGUAAAUAAGCUGCAUAUCAAAUCUUUUCUUCAUCAUGGUACUCUUGGACAGCGAAGGCCUUCUCCAUCUCUAUUAUCCAGUUGUUAGCCUCCAAAGGUUCAGUAGUCUCCUUGAAGACUGGAGGAGCUAGCUUUUUAAAUUCUGAAAUGUUGUUCCAUUGUAUUGGCUGCUCUCCAUAUUGUGG
rnacentral:lncRNA from 1 species